UAAGUCCAAACAACAAACAUUCUAGACCAGGAAUGAAAUGAAUGUGGAAAUGGAGGCAAAACUAGCUUCUUCCACAGUGAAAAUGGGAAGUCAAUUAAACUUCUAUUGGACAGAAUUUGGAUUUCUAUAGACUGUUAUUUUGUGUUGCUAUCGCUUAUCUAUAAUUUACAGAGUUGUAAAAUAACUCCCAUAGAAUCAGAAUCAGAUAAUUCAGAAGGGUGACUUCUAUGUAGUUUUCCAUCAAAGCACAACUUUUACCCUACAGUGGCAGUAAGAGAAAACUAGUUAAUUUUUCAGAGGCCACAUCAGAUAGGGUCGCAGAUACCACACCAGAGUUUGGAUUUCUGUUAGUUUUAGUCUUUGAGCAAAAGAAGUUCAUGAAGGGUCAAACUGAGAAGUGCUAGGAUCUCCUGUCAUCAGAGAGGCAUGGCCUGGCAAGGAGGUGGACGUUUGACUGGAAUAGCUCAAGGAUGGAUUCAGAGGCUUGAUGCAGUAGGUCAGUCAAGAAAGUCUGAGGGCCAGAGCCACGGUAAUGGCAAACGGGAGAGUUGCUGACAAACAAAAUACAGUCAAGUAGAUCUAGUGAAAGUGGAUGUGAGGGAUGAAGUAGAAAGAAGGUUGUCUCUGAUGAUUUCUAGGUUUCUGGCUUAAACAAUUAGGCGCAUGGUGGCGCAUCCACCUAUGUGAAAGGAGCAAGCUUGUGAGGAGCGAUGAGCUGGUUUG
rnacentral:lncRNA from 1 species